AUUGAACGCUGGCGGCAGGCCUAACACAUGCAAGUCGAACGGUAACAGGAAGAAGCUUGCUUCUUUGCUGACGAGUGGCGGACGGGUGAGUAAUGUCUGGGAAACUGCCUGAUGGAGGGGGAUAACUUCUGGAAACGGUAGCUAAUACCGCAUAACGUCGCAAGACCAAAAAGGGGGACCUUCGGGCCUCUUGCCAUCGGAUGUGCCCAGAUGGGAUUAGCUAGUAGGUGGGGUAACGGCUCACCUAGGCGACGAUCCCUAGCUGGUCUGAGAGGAUGACCAGCCACACUGGAACUGAGACACGGUCCAGACUCCUACGGGAGGCAGCAGUGGGGAAUAUUGCACAAUGGGCGCAAGCCUGAUGCAGCCAUGCCGCGUGUAUGAAGAAGGCCUUCGGGUUGUAAAGUACUUUCAGCGGGGAGGAAGGGAGUAAAGUUAAUACCUUUGCUCAUUGACGUUACCCGCAGAAGAAGCACCGGCUAACUCCGUG
rnacentral:rRNA from 1 species